AUCACUUGUUGCAGCCUUUGUUUCCAUGGCUCUUGCCUACAAGUUUGAAUAAAGUCAUUAGUUUGAAUUAUAAUGAUAGAUGCAAGAUUCAGUAUGAGAGGAGGAAGAAGAGGUUGGUAGGUGGAAGCGAGUGAAGAAAGGAGAAGAUACGGUUAAGGUGUGCUGACGUGUCUUUGGAGUGAAGCACAUAAGACUUAGAAUAUUAUAGAGUAUAAAUAGCAGUUGUAUUCAUUCAUUAGAGGUUAUCGAGAAUUACAUAGAUGUAUCUUAGCACAUGAGCUGAGAGCUACUCAGGUGAUAGAGUAGUUGAGGAUUCAGGUGAUAGAAUCCUCCAUUGUUGUAAUUCUUGAGUUCGUCUAUCAAUAUACAGAGAGUUUCCAGGAGAUACGAUCUCUGAUCUUAUCAAUUGGUGCGGUGAAACUGGUUCGAGUUACGCGACGGUUACGAUCGGAGUUUCGACGGUUACGAUCGGAGUUUCGACGGUUACGAUCGGAGUUUCGUGACGAUCGGAGCUACGGUGGUUACGAUCGGUGGUUGGUGAGUCGAUCUAGCGUACGGCGCGACGUAGACGUUGUUCGAUCGCAGGUUGGCUGUUACAAAUCGGUUGACGAACGAUGUCGAAGGUGAAGAGAGUGGAGUCGAGCUCGAACGCGGAGUCGGAAGAUGAAUUCGAGGUGACGGAUAUGGAUCUGGAGUUUCUGCGCGGUGGUUAUGUGCGUCUAAACAGAGCAUUAAAGGAAUCGGAUGCGAAACAUGAGAGCGUUGGCCACGAAUUGAAGACGAUUAGGCAACUCUUGGAGAGACUAACGCCUCAAGGAGAUCCAGGCAAGAGACCAAUCCACGAACCUUAUCGUCAUCAGGUACAUUCUUCGAAUUGGGAACGUAAUCCGGAAGAACACCCGCUAGGUUAUCGAUCUGGGAAUAUGAAUCUAGCCACUAGGGAUUCAAUGUUACAGAAGAUACCUAUGCCUACGUUCUCGGGGAAGCAACCGUAUGCGUGGAUCACAGAUGUAGAGAGGUGGUUCAGUGUGGGAAGAUAUGAUGAAGAUGAGAAGUUAGAAUUGGUGGGAUUGAGUUUGGAUGGCAGAGUGAAGAAAUGGUUCGGAUGGGAACUGAAGCGCAACGGGUUUCAGAGCUGGAAUGAGUUUAAAGAGAAACUAUUGCUACGUUUUACAGAGUCAAUUGAGGAGGAACCAGCAAGUCGUUUGAUAGCAAUCAAACAAACCGGUUCAGUAGCAGAUUAUAUAUCAGAGUUUGAAGAGUUAUCAGAGUUAGUUCUGGGGUUGAGUGAUGAGUUCUUGAUAAAAAUAUUCUACAACGGUUUGAACCAAGAAAUGAAGGAAGUUAUAAGGAUGAAGGAACCAAAAGGUUUGGAGAAUCAUAUUGCGGCGGUAUUAAAGAUGGAGUCGAGUGCUUUCUGUAGAGUGAUUAGUGGGGGGACGAAAGCUGAGACAGAGGGUCGUCGACAGUUUCAGUCUAAUCCAUUAAGGUCCUCAUCAACAUACAAUUCUCAACGUCAUUAUGCAGAGACUGAUAACAGACGCAACAAUUCAAACCCGGUAACACAAAAGAAAGACAACUUGCCUGUCAAACCUAACUCAGAAGUCAGACCUCGUCUGAAGCACUCAAAUGAAGAACUUGACCGAAUGCGAAAGGAGUUUAUAUGUUUUAAAUGUGGAGCUCACGGGUGGACAAGAGCUCACAAAUGUCCUAAUAAGGAGCUGAGGAUCUUGACGGUAUUCAAUGGCAUUGAAAUGGAAGUGUUGGAUACAGAGGAUGAGUCCGAGGAGGAGGAAACUAUAGUUUACAAGCCAGUCCAAGAAUUGAGAAAAUUAUCACUCAAUUCGUUCUUGGGAAAGCAAUCUCCGAGGACAACACGAAUGUAUGGGGUGAUCCAACAGUCCAACGUGAUCGUGCUAUUAGACAGUGGCGCAUCACAUAACUUCAUCACACCGGAAACGGUGGCAAGGCUCAAAUUGAAAGUUUGUGCAGAUAAGAGCCUAGACAUUGUGCUGGGGAAUGGGGCAACAGUGCAAAGCAUUGGGGUUUGCGAGUCCCUUCCUUUUCAAUUGGCAAAUGUCGAAUUUGUAUCCGAUUUUAUAGCUUUGGAAUUGGGAAUGGUUGAUGUUAUUCUAGGAAUUCAGUGGCUGGAGACUUUAGGAAAAUGUGAAGUGGAUUGGAAGAAGCAAGAGCUGUCAUUUGUGUACAAAGGUAACAAAGUGACAUUGCUCGGAGACCCAACCCUACAUUCUUCCAAACUCUCACUAAAGUCGCUGUCUCCUAUCUCGGCGGUUGAUGCAAAAAGAAGAGAAGUGUUUUUGUCAUCAACCAAUGAGGUAACAUCUGAUAUUCCAGCUAUUCCGAGAAAGCUACUUCACCUCCUGGAGGAAUUUGAUCAGGUCUUCGCAUUACCUACGGGCCUACCACCCUUUAGGGGUUAUGAUCAUUCCAUCUGCCUAAGACCAGGGGUGAAUACUAUCUCUGUACGUCCCUACCGUUACCCCCACGCAACAAAAGUGGUAAUGGAGAAAAUGGUUGGGGAAAUGCUAGAAGCAGGGAUAAUCAGAGUUAGUACUAGUCCUUUUUCAAGUCCAGUGCUGCUGGUAAAGAAAAAGGAUGGCUCGUGGAGAUUUUGUGUUGAUUAUAGAGCCCUUAAUAAAGUCACAAUACCGGACAAGUUUCCUAUUCCGGUCAUUGAUCAGCUACUUGAUGAACUAUAUGGAGCUACAGUAUUCUCGAAGAUAGACUUACGGUCAGGCUAUCAUCAGAUCCGAAUGAAGGAAUCAGACGUAGAGAAAACAGCUUUCAGAACCUUGGAAGGUCACUACGAGUUCCUAGUCAUGCCUUUUGGGUUGACUAAUGCGCCAGCAACUUUUCAAGCUCUGAUGAAUGCAAUCUUUAAGCCGUAUUUGCGGAAGUUCAUCUUGGUCUUCUUUGACGAUGUUCUCAUCUAUAGUCGAAAUGAGGAAGAACAUGUGGAACACGUACGCAUCGCAUUGAAGGUCUUGGUGGAUAACAAACUGUUGGCAAACAAAAAGAAGUGUGCAUUCGGUUUAUCUCAUGUCGAGUAUUUGGGUCACAUAAUCUCUCGAGAAGGAGUAGCAACAGAUUCAUCUAAAACAAAGAGUAUGAAGGAGUGGCCUACACCGAAGUCAGUAAAGCAGUUACGAGGCUUCCUUGGUCUCACUGGUUACUAUCGCAACUAUGUCAAGGGAUAUGGGACUAUUGCAAGACCUCUAACAGCACUACUACAGAAAGACGGUUUUGCUUGGUCUAAAGAAGCUCAAAGUUCGUUUGAAGAACUGAAGCACGCAAUGAUUUCAGCACCAGUUUUAGCCUUACCAAACUUUGAAAAGCAAUUUAUCAUAGAGUCUGACGCCUCAGGGUUCGGAGUGGGUGCGGUACUGAUGCAGGAUCGUCGUCCGAUCGCAUUUUUUAGUCAUGGCCUAACAGCACGGGAAAGGUUGAAACCAGCUUAUGAAAGAGAGUUAAUGGCAGUGGUUCUCGCAGUUCAGAAAUGGAAGCAUUAUCUGUUGGGCAGAAAAUUUGUGGUACAUACAGAUCAGCGCAGUUUGAAAUACUUAUUGGAACAGAAAGAAGUUAACAUGGAAUACCAAAGAUGGCUGACAAAGCUGUUGGGUUACGAUUUUGAUAUCAUUUAUAAACCAGGGUGUGACAAUAAGGCGGCUGAUGGUUUAUCACGAAUUGAGAACGAGGAGAUUCUAGCAAAUACGUUGACAUUAUUGGCUAUUACGGUUCCUGCGGUCAUUCAACUACAAGAUCUUUAUAAGGAAAUAGCUGCGGAUGGAGAUUUAAAACAGUUAGUUGAAUUAGUGAGACAGGGGAAACUCGCAAAUCCACACUAUAAGAUCAACAAUGACAAAUUGUGGUAUAAGAACAGACUUGUGAUACCUCGGCAGUCAAAAUCAAUUCCGCUGAUCUUGUUUGAAUGUCACGAUGGAAAACUUGGUGGUCACUCAGGAGUUCUGAAAACAGUAAAGCGGAUUCAGACAAUGUUCCAUUGGGAAGGGUUGUUCAAGACAGUACAGAAAUAUGUUGCAGAAUGUCCUGUAUGUCAGACGCACAAGUACUCUACUUUAUCACCAGCGGGACUCUUGCAACCACUACCGAUUCCGACUAGAGUUUGGGAAGACAUAUCAAUGGAUUUCGUGGAAGGUCUUCCUACUUCGCAAGGUGUUAAUGUGAUAAUGGUUGUGGUAGACAGACUCAGUAAAUAUGGGCAUUUCAUCGGGCUGCGACACCCAUUUACAGCGGUGGAUGUCGCUGGAAAAUUUAUGACAGAAGUGGUGAAGCAUCAUGGGUUUCCAACUUCUAUUGUAUCGGACAGGGACCGCAUCUUUCUAAGCAAUUUCUGGAAGGAUUUAUUUCGUUUGGUGGGAACAAAGUUGAAGUACAGCACUGCCUUUCAUCCACAAACAGAUGGACAAACAGAAGUCCUCAAUAGGUGCUUGGAAACAUACCUUCGUUGUUUCGCUUCAGGCCAUCCAAAAACGUGGUUUAAGUUUCUUUCUUGGGCUGAGCUAUGGUAUAACACUUCGUUUCAUACGUCUUUGAAAACUACCCCUUUCAGAGUGGUAUAUGGCCGCGAACCUCCACCUUUGGUACGUUUUGAAGAAGGGUCGACCCAGAACUAUGAUUUGGAAACAGCGUUAAAGGAGAGGGAUACAAUGUUAGAGCACAUCAAAUUGAAUCUGUCGCGAGCCCAGGCAAUAAUGAAGUCACAGGCAGAUAAACAUCGCAGGGAUGUACAGUUUAAUGUCGGCGAGCGGGUGUAUUUGAAGUUGAAACCAUUCAGACAGAACACCGUGGUCCGUCGUUACUGUCAGAAGUUAGCUGCUAAGUUCUUUGGACCUUAUGAGAUCGUGGAGAGGAUCGGUAAAGUAGCGUACCGGUUGAGACUACCUGAUUCAUCUAAAAUUCAUCCUGUCUUUCAUAUUUCACAAUUAAAAGCUGCGUUGGGUAAGGAUCAAGCGCUACAGGUGGUGCCACCAGCGUAUACAGAUUUGGAGAACUUAAUCAGAGAGCCGGAAGCUGUUCUUGCUUCGAGGAGGAAGGAGGAUGAUAAGGUGGAAUUGUUAGUGCGCUGGAAGCAUUUGUUGGAUCAUGACAAUUCGUGGAUGUCACUCGAUGACUUUGUGAGUCAUUUUCCGGAAUUCAAGCUUGAGGGCAAGCUUGCUUUCAAUGGAGGGAGUAUUGAUAGAUGCAAGAUUCAGUAUGAGAGGAGGAAGAAGAGGUUGGUAGGUGGAAGCGAGUGAAGAAAGGAGAAGAUACGGUUAAGGUGUGCUGACGUGUCUUUGGAGUGAAGCACAUAAGACUUAGAAUAUUAUAGAGUAUAAAUAGCAGUUGUAUUCAUUCAUUAGAGGUUAUCGAGAAUUACAUAGAUGUAUCUUAGCACAUGAGCUGAGAGCUACUCAGGUGAUAGAGUAGUUGAGGAUUCAGGUGAUAGAAUCCUCCAUUGUUGUAAUUCUUGAGUUCGUCUAUCAAUAUACAGAGAGUUUCCAGGAGAUACGAUCUCUGAUCUUAUCAUAUAACCAAGAGAGUAUGACCUAAAGAGCAGUUGGUGUUGUACUUACA
rnacentral:lncRNA from 1 species